CGAGCUUUCAACUGUUGACCCAUCAACUACUUUGCUUUAGUUCUUGCGGACUCGGACUCGUUUCAAGAGUGUUAAGCUCAGUUGUGGCGAAGGUGGUUGUGGUGCUUGUACUGUGCUGCUAUCCAAGUACGAUCUAGUAAAUGAUAGAGUUGAGGAUAUGACUGCGAGUUCAUGUCUUACUCUCUUAAACAGUAUAAGUGGGUGUUCAUUUACAACAUCUGAUGGGCUUGGAAAAUAGUGCGAUUUGUGGUGCUCGGAGCUGCGCAAAAUGACGGGGAUGGCUGGGUUUGUGACAAGGUUUUGCGCGCAGGGGAUGGGGGUUUCUGGUGGUGGUCGGAGGUGAGGGAGAAUAUUGGUUCGUGGUCAGAUCUGUUUUUUUUUUUUUUUUUCUGUCUUCAGAUCUGUGGUAACUGGUUACCUUCACGUUAUUUGUUUGUAUAUUUCAGGAGGUAACUGGUUACCGUCACAUUCUGAUGUGUGUGUAUAUUUCUGGGUUCUAUAUGAUAACUAGUUACCUAGGUUACCAAAUCAUACUUACUCUUUUUUUCCCUUCAAAUGUGAUGUUUCUUUUCAUUUAUAAUAUGAGUGACUCGUUAUCUCUCUUA